rnacentral:snRNA from 1 species
AGGGCUUCUGGCCUUUUGGCUAAGAUCAAGUGUAGUAUCUGUUUUUAGCCAUUUAAUAUCUGACAUUAAAUGGUUUUUAGCCAUUUAAUAUUGAUAUGCCCUCUAUCCAAA